CUUGCCCAUCACAUAAGAGGUCCAGCCUGCCCAGUGACACUGUUCAACGGCCGCGGUAUCCUAACCGUGCGAAGGUAGCGUAAUCACUUGUUCUUUAAAUAAGGACUAGUAUGAAAGGCACCACGAGAGUCAUACUGUCUCCUUUCUCUAAUCAGUGAAACUAAUCUUCCCGUGAAGAAGCGGGGAUAAAAAUAUAAGACGAGAAGACCCUAUGGAGCUUCAAACAAAUAACACUUGCCCCAGACCCCUAAUUUCAGAAAAAUUUUCUACCCCGGCAUCAUGAUUAUUAGUUUUCGGUUGGGGUAACCACGGAAUAAAAAACAACCUCCGCAAUGAAAGACACUCAUCUACUUAAUCAAGGGCUACGACCCCACACAUCAACAAAUUGACACUAAUUGACCCAACAUGUUGAUCAAUGAAC
rnacentral:rRNA from 1 species